rnacentral:misc_RNA from 1 species
GGCAAUUUGUGCAUUGCAAAAUUUUGUAAUGAGCAGUAGAACAAACAGGAGAGCUGUUGCAGACGCAGGUGGAAUUUUAAUGGUUCAAGAACUGCUUAUAGCCCCUAAUACAGAAAUUGUAGUACAAGCAUCUCUGCUCGUAAGGUUUUUAUUCUCAAAUCACACGCUUCAAGAAUAUGUAUCAAACGAGCUUAUCAGAUCUUUGACAGCUGCACUUGAUAAGGAAUUGUGGAACAAGGCAACUGCUAGUGAGGAGAUUCUCCGGACAAUUCAUGUUAUAUUUUCUAAUUUUCCCAAGCUCCAUGUUACUGAUGCUGCUACGCUUUGUAUCCCUCAUCUGGUGGCUGCAUUGAAGUCUGGUAGUGAGCCUGCACAGGAUUCAGUAUUGACUACACUAUGCUUACUCAAGCAAUCAUGGUCAACCAUGCCAAUGGAUGUGUCAAACUCACAAGCAAUGGUUGCUGCUGAAGCCAUUCCAGUAUUGCAGAUACUAAUGAAGACUUGCCCACCAAGUUUCCAUGAUAGAGCAGACAGUCUGUUGCAUUGCUUACCAGGUUGUUUGACAGUCACAAUCAAGCGUGCAAACAAUUUAAAGCAGGUGAUGGGAGGAACUAAUGCUUUUUGUCAAUUGACUAUUGGAAAUGGUCCAUCACGGCAAACAAAGGUUGUGAGUCACAGUACGUCACCAGAAUGGGAAGAAGGCUUCACAUGGGCUUUUGAUGUACCA